UCCAUCUCAUCUCCAUCCCUGUCCGAUCCAUUUUUCUUUCUUCUUCCCACUCGUCGGGCGGAGGGAGAGCCUCUUGGGAGCCUGCAGGGGCCUCACAGUAUUUGGAGUUUUUCAAUCGUACUGAACUUUUUGCGGACAUUGUCAUUGAGCAUGAGUAUGUUGAGUGCACUGGUGCAUCAAUCCAAGCACUAGUUCUGUUUAAAAAGUUAUACCCUGUACACCGGACCACAGAGAUUGACAAUUUCAUUGAUAAUGCUGUUAAAUAUCUUAAUGAUGUACAGAAGCCUGAUGGUUCAUGGUAUGGUUCCUGGGGUGUGUGCUUUACAUAUGCUUCCUGGUUUGCUCUUGGAGGGCUUGCUGCAGCAGGCAAGAGUUA